GAAAACUGAUCCCAUUCCAGCCAAAGCCAAUGCAGUCCAUAGAAUCAUAGAAGGGCUUGGGUUGGAAGGGACCUCAAAGACCAUCUACUUCCAACCCCCCUGCCAUGGGUAGAGAUGCCACCCACUAUAUCAGGUCGUUCAGGGCAACCUCAUCUAACCUUGUCUUGAACACCUUGAACAAUUUCCCUGUGAAAUCUAUAUAAAACAGAUGAAGCAUGAGCAUGUCUCCUAAGUAUGGAUUUAAGGGGAGUUUAGAUGCAAGACUGACUGUUUUCAGUAUCACAAGGAGUCUUAAAUAGCUAAUAAUUAUCAGAGAAUCGGUUCAAUAAAAAACACUCCUGAACCAAAUGUUUUAAAGUUGGUCUCAAUGCCCUUUAAUUCUAACUGCAUGGUUGAAUGCCUGCCAUCCCAAAUAACCCUUUCACUCAGGAGAAGCCCUACGGUGGCUUUAUCUCUCUUUCUCUCUUUAAUUUUAUUUUUUAUUUUUAUUUUUUAUUCACAUUUCAUAUAAUCUUCAGAAGUGUACAGCUCAGCGAAGUAGGUGUUGAUGUUAAUACUUACGCUUUUGAUCUGCAGACUCCAGGGUAUUACCUAAUGAACUUAACUACCUUCGCUGAUGUUGCAGGUGGCCUAUUAACUUUCAUAACCUAAUUGCAGAGAUGUCCGUUCAACUGCCAGUGACCAUAUUCUGAUGUGUGCUGAUUCAUCAGCUGUGGUGACUACAGAGAAAAUACAGUAUGUUAUGGCACAAACAUCAUUCGAUCUUCCUUUAUUAGAUACAAGACAUAAGAAAGACUUAACUUUUAGACCACAUUCUGUAACUCAAUUAAUCAAAGGCAUAGCUUAAAUCAUAAAAAUAUUCACAAGUUAGUAAAAAUGCAAACUUCAUAUUGUUCAUUAGUUCCUCAAAAUUCAUGCAGUAACAUUUUCAUUAUAACCUUCAGUUUGGAUUGCUUCUGGUGGUCCUGAAAUCACAGAUUUUGCAAGGCAUAGUAUGUUCAGGACAAGAUUGCACAGCAACAUCAUAUGCACUUAAAGACACCAGAUGUGUGUGUGUGUGUGUGUGUGUGUGUGUUUUAAUUCACUUUUAGAAUUUGUUCUACCUCACUGGAAAUUGUACUUCUUCAUCAUGGAGAUAGAGACUUAUCUUAGCAAGUGUCUUCCCUUGAGACAUGCAGGGACAGAUUUUAGUUGACUGGGGCAGCAGAUGAUUUGAUUUCUUUUAAAUCCUCCUUUUUUUCUUCUAAAGAAUUUUUAAUAACUAGAAACCCCAUUUCGUAUCUUGAAAAAAAAAAUAUAUAAAAAAAAAUCAAGGUUACGGUGAGAAAAAUGCAGAAGUCCAUAGCAGAGAAGAGCUUGCCAGGGAUGACUACUGCAGAAAUACAGAACUGUAAUAGCUUUUAUUAUCUCUGCACAGGGGCAAUGGUAGGCCAGCACUGCUCAAACAUGCCAUUCAGAAAUGAAGCACAAUCAAAGAAGAAUAUAUGGAUAAUAAUCCCCAGAAUAGGAUUUCUGUGACUAGUGGUAGUGAAGCUAAGAUGUUAAAAUUAUGGAAAAAAAAUUGUACUGCUACAAGUGGCUCAAAUAACCCACAAUCAAAGCUGUCAGGUAUAUAGAUCACUUCUUUUCUUCAACAACUGUGAUGAUUUUAAUGGUAUCAAAAAGCAUUUUAAAAUGUUUUACUGAGUACUCUGCCCAGUUCUCACUGAAUGUCUCUCUUAAACUCAAAGAAAAACAUAUAAUUCUUCACCCAUAAGCCAUAAUAAAAAUAUUUUCUUAUCUAAAUAAAAUAAAUUU
ensembl:lncRNA